GGGGAAUAUUGGUCAAUGGGCGCGAGCCUGAACCAGCCAAGUAGCGUGAAGGAUGACUGCCCUAUGGGUUGUAAACUUCUUUUAUAAGGGAAUAAAGUGAGGCACGUGUGCCUUAUUGUAUGUACCUUAGGAAUAAGCAUCGGCUAACUCCGUGCCAGCAGCCGCGGUAAUACGGAGGAUGCAAGCGUUAUCCGGAUUUAUUGGGUUUAAAGGGAGCGUAGGCGGACUAUUAAGUCAGCUGUGAAAGUUUACGGCUCAACCGUGAAAUUGCAGUUGAAACUGGUCGUCUUGAGUGCAGUAAAGGUGGGCGGAAUUCGUGGUGUAGCGGUGAAAUGCUUAGAGAUCGAGAGGAAUACUCAUUGCGAAGGCGACCUGCUGGAACAUUACUGACGCUGAGGUGCGAAAGCGUGGGGAGCAAACA
rnacentral:rRNA from 1 species